ensembl:lncRNA
AUGGCUUGAAAAUAGACUCUUCGAAAGGAUUCAUCUCUUCUCAAUUAUUAAAGAGCAAAGUAUAAAUAGACGACUGUGCACAUAACGAAUAGCUUGGAGGAAGAAGAGACAAUCCUGGCGGAAGGGAAAACUGAUCUAAAAUUUAUACAUCUAACUAUGUGCAUAUGUGUUUGCACAUACAUAUUCACUCUGCAAUGCACUUUGUAAACAAUGUGUUUUUUAAAGGUGUUAUAUAAAUAAAUAUUCUUAUAUCACUGUUUGAUAGUCAAAUAGAGGGCAAAUUGUUCUAAACAGGAAAAUAAUGUGCUUUAUGGCAUAGAUUUGUGAAUAAAAUCUACACUUAAGAUUUUUAUUAAACCUGAACAAUAUUUUUUCUUUAUAUAUAAAUAUAUGUAAUUAAAAUUAUUGCAACAUAUUGUCAUCAGUUAUAUAACACGUUAUAAUUCAAAUGAGAGCAAAUUAAAAACACGGUAAAUAACCUAUAUAAAUAUUUAAGGGAUCCACAUAAUAUUAAACAAAAUUCAAAAUAAAUAAAUAAAUACAUCAAUAAAUAAAUAAUAUAUAAGAAAGAGGGGGGAAAUGCUAUAUAAAUGAUAUAAAGAGAAAAAAAAAUACAAAUUGAGUAUAUAAAUAAUUAUAUUGUACACUUGGCACAGAAGAGGACUCGUGAUGCAAGGAUGAAAAGACGUAGGUUGCGUUCCCCCGUUACGUCACAAGUAAGUGAGCUUGAGGAGGGAGUGGAAAAAAAGAAGGAAGGAAGGAUGAGCGCUAUGUAGAUAAUGAUUCUCUAUGUAGCCUGUGAUUUACACCUGCGAUGAUCUAAUGCAAAGCAAUACAGAUCCUUCUCUAAAAGCCAUAAAGCAGUCCACAAAUGUGAUGCACAGAUUUGCACAAUCAAAGCGACAUCGCGCUUAUUUCGGGUGGAUGUUAUUUUUUAACUCUGCGUGAACGGAUAUUGUGUUUGUUUUAUCGGGUCGGUCGUGCUGGAGCUGAACCGGGCCUUUGCUAUGCAGUAAUGGAGCAGCUAUUAUUUCUUGUAAUUUUCUACUUGCUUCCUACUCUCAUCUCAUCCAUACAUAAUUCAACGACUGGAGGUAAUGUGUGUGUGUGUGUGUGUGUGUGUGUGUGUGUGUGUGGAUGACGUCUGCUCCGUGCAU